CGUAGGUGGCAAGCGUUGUCCGGAAUUAUUGGGCGUAAAGCGCGCGCAGGUGGGAUAAUAAGUCUGAUGUUAAAGUUCGGGGCUCAACCCCGUGAAGCAUUUGGAUACUGUUAUUCUUGAGUGCAGGAGAGGAAAGUGGAAUUCCUAGUGUAGCGGUGAAAUGCGUAGAUAUUAGGAGGAACACCAGUGGCGAAGGCGACUUUCUGGACUGUGUCUGACACUGAGGCGCGAAAGCCAGGGUAGUGAACGGGAUUAGAUACCCCGGUAAUCCUGGCCGUAAACGAUGCAUAUUUGGUGUGGGCCAUUCAUUUGGUCUGUGCCGGAGCUAACGCGUUAAAUAUGCCGCCUGGGGAGUACGGUCGCAAGGCUG
rnacentral:rRNA from 1 species